UCCCAGAAAAUUAUCUACACCUCUCUUUCAUACCAGCUACGGUUUCCACCCCCAACCUUCACUUCAUAUAAAUACCAUCUCCUUCCUCUUCUCACCUUCAUUUCACUAUUAUCAUCAUCAUUAUCCCCAAACAAGCCCUUCACCCACCAAAAAAAAAAAAAAUACUCUCUAGUUUAUUACCUCUCUCUCUGCGAGGCUCUUUUGAGCCAUUGCAUGAGAUUGAUUAUCUUUAAACACAAAAAAAAACUCUAAAGCUUUUAUUCACACCGGCAGAAAGAGAGAGAAAGAGAGAUCAAGCAUUUUAUAUACAAAUAGUUUUUAAAAGCAAAAGGAAGAAUAAUGGCAGUAGUUCCCAUGGGUUGUUUAGUCGUUGUAUUCGUUGCUAUUGUUUGCUGUGCUAUUAUCACCUUGCCUGCUUCCAUUCAAGCCCAGUCCUCUUCCCCAACAAGCGACGGAGGGAAUUCGAUAGACCAAGGGAUUGCAUGCAUGUUGAUGGUGGUGGCAUUGUUGCUCACUUACCUCAUUCAUGCUAUUGGAAAAAUAGGGUUUUGUGCUGGCUUCUUUUUUUUAAUUUAAUUAUUUUAUUUUAGUUAAAGCUAAGGGUAUUUUUUUUUUGAGGGUUGAUGUGUUUCUUUCUUCAAUCUGAUUUGAGGACUAAAUGAUUUGUAAAUAAGAGCAUUAUGUGAUUUUAGUCGAAAAUUAUUUUGUUCGAGCUUGAUAAUCUCA